AGGACAUCCUAUUAGGACAUUCCAUCCUAUUCAGAUGGAAAUGUAAAUCAAGAGGAAACAUUCUAUAAAUGUGUACUGAUAUAAGCAAAGUUGCAUUAUCUUUCAGUGUUAUUAUGCUGUACAAGAAAAUACUCCCAGUGUUCUUGAAGCUGGAAUGCAAGAGAUCAGCGUUGUUGGGAGAGGGUAAGGCCAUUUCCAGGCUUCAG
rnacentral:lncRNA from 1 species